rnacentral:sRNA from 1 species
GCUGGGCACGGUGGCACACGCCUGUAAUCCCAGCAGCUUAGGAUGCUGAGGCAGGAGGAUUGUGAGUUCAAAGCCAGCCUCAGCAAGGUGCUAAGCAACUCAGUGAGACCCUGUCUCUA